rnacentral:misc_RNA from 1 species
UUUUUCUUUAGUCUUCUAGCUUUCUAAUCAUGUAUCCAUCUCCCAUCUAUCGAUAUUGGUUAACAACAGAAACCUUAAAUAGGAUCCUGGCUUCAAAAUCUUUUUGAUUCAGAAGUCAAAAUUUAAGGAAUAAAGUCUGAUAUCCAGCUCAAACCAAUGAAAAGAAUCAACAAUGAAAAGAAUAAACAAUGAUGCCUUGUCUUAACCUAUCCAAUUCUGGAAUUGUCUCUGCCAAAAACCAGGGUG